rnacentral:lncRNA from 1 species
UCAACUCGUAGAAUGUGAAGCCUGGAUAAUUAAGCUACAGUGAACCUCUGCUAAUGAUGCCACGUCACUUCCAUUACUGUUGCUAAUCUCACGUUAGUUCGAAACCGAUUUAAAUUCAAAGUCAAAAUCAAGCAAUCAAUAAAUGUUUUCAAAUAUUAAAACUAAAAUGUUCAUCAUGUGGCAAAUAAUCCCUAACUAGUUUUGGUGGUGGAACCAACCUUUUACAAAGUGUUUAAAUGCCCUAGACUAAUUAAAAAUAGCGGCUAAAAUAAUAAUUUAAUUCCUUUUGAAAAUAUAAAAAUAUUAAACUAAUUUAUUUUGGGUCAAACUAGGUUUGGCAGUGGCCUAUUUUGAUGAUACUAAUUUAGGUGCUAACUUGGUAUUUUAAAGAAACUAAAAUAAUUAGGAACUAAAAGAAAACAGAAAAGAAAAAAAUAAGAAAAGGCAAAAGAAAAACAAAAUACAAAAAAUAAUAUAAAAAGAGAACACCCCCUCCCCGCUAGGCCACGGCCCAGAUGGCCUCGGGGCCAACCAGGCCGGCCCAGCUGGCGCCUACAACACCCCUGGGGCGACCGAACCCUAGCGGUCCCUCCCGCACUCCUCGAUCCCCAUCUCUCUCCCUCACUUUCCCACAUCCGCCGCCACCCGCGUGCUCGCACAUAUCGUGCCAGGGAGAGGAGCUCCCCGCGCCCGUUCCCUUCGCGAGCGCCUCCUACCGCCGCGAACGCAAGCCGCUCCAGCGUUGCUCCGCUACCCUGCCACCCAUCGGCUCCGUUCCUCCCCUUCUUCUACGCCUCCUCGUCGCCCCUGCCCGACUGCCUCGUCACCGGCGGCCCACGCCGCGUCGGCCAUCAGAGCCACCAGUCAGCACCACCGGCUCCUCCCGCGCGACGCCCGCGUUGUUCUCCAUCGGCCUCAUCCGCUCGUCGCCCCGCUCACCAUCGCCGCCACGCCUUGCCGCCCCCGCUCCCCGCCAACGGCUGUGAGCUCCUCCCUCCUCUCCUUUUCUCCUCGCCGCGGUCACCGACGCCCCGCGCCACCCCGCCUGACCCUCGCGCGCCGAUCCAUGCGCCCUCUCGCCCACGCAUGGCCUCGCCUCCCUCUGCUGCUGCACAACCGUCGUUGCUCGCGGCUGGCCUCGCCUAGUUCCGCAUCUGCCGUGCCCCAGCCUGCCCCGACGUGCCUGCACCUCGUCGGCGUUGCUCCUAUCCGGGGCCAUGCCCUGCUCCCCCGUCGCGCUAUGCGCUCGUCGCCGGCGCUCCUCUGUGAGCGGCCGCGCGUUGCCAAGCCAUGGCUGCUUGUGCCACCGCCACUGGGGCCAACCCCCCCAAAAAAUGAAUAACCAAAAUAAAUAAAUAAAAUAGGAUAAAUAUUUAAUUAAUUAUUUGGACAAUUAACCUAAUUAAUUGGUUUAGCUAGCCUAACAGAACAUGACAGUGGUACCCCCUAGUUAAACUAAACUCUUGAACUUAACCCUAGACAAUGACAUGUGGGGCCCCCGUGAACUGUUCAUUUGGAUAAGGCUCACACAAUCAGCCGUUGACUUUGACUCUAGGCCCACUGUCAGCCUCACGUGCAAAAGUGUGGGUACACUUUCUGGUACCCGUAGGCCGUAGCAUUUAGAUAUUAAAAAUGAUUUUCGAAUUAAGGUAAUUCCAGUAAUUCCAAAAAUUCAAUUAAACUUUAGAAAAUCAUAUAAAUUAAACCGUAAGUCGGAUGAAAAAACUUUGUACAUGAAAGUUGCUCAGAACGACGAGACAAAUCCAGACACGCAGCCCGUUCAUCUACCACACAUCCCUAGCAUAGCAAACACGCAACUUUCCCCCUCCGGUCCGUCUGUCAGAAAACGCGAAACAUCGGGAAUACUUUCCCGGAUGUUUCCCCCCUUCACCGGUAUCACCUCAUACCGCGUUAGAACACGUCUAGCUCUGCCUGUUGUCUUGUUAUGCACUUGCUUGCUAUGUAUUUACUGUUUCUCCCCCCUCGUCUCUUUGGUAGACCCCGUGACGAUGAUGAUGCCCGUGUGGUCGACUACGUCACCGAUGACCCCUCCUUGUCUGAGCAACCAGGCAAGCCCCCCCCUUGAUCACCAGAUAUCGCCUAUUCUUCUCUAUACUGCUUGCAUUAGAGUAGUGUAGCAUGUUACUGCUUUCCGUUAAUCCUAUCCUGAUGCAUAGCCUGUCAUUGUUGCUACAGUUGUUACCCUUACCUGCUAUCCUACUGCUUAGUAUAGGAUGCUAGUGUUCCAUCAGUGGCCCUACACUCUUGUCCGUCUGCCAUGCUAUACUACUGGGCCGUGAUCACUUUGGGAGGUGAUCACGGAUAUAUACUAUAUACAUUAUAUACAUGACACAUGUGGUGACUAAAGUCGGGUCGGCUCGAGGAGUACCCGCAAGUGAUUCUGAUGAGGGGGCUGAAAGGACAGGUGGCUCCACCCCGGUAGAGGUGGGCCUGGGUUCCUGACGGCCCCCGACUGUUACUUUGUGGCGGAGCGACAGGGCAGGUUGAGACCACCUAGGAGAGAGGUGGGCCUGGCCCCGGUCGGCGUUCGCAGAUACUUAACACGCUUAACGAGUUCUUGGUAUUUGAUCUGAGUCUGGCCAUUUGGUCUAUACGCACUAACCAUCUACGUGGGAGUAGUUAUGGGUAUCCCGACGUCGUGGUAUCAGCCGAAGCUCUUUUGACGUUAGCGACUGAGUGGCGCGCGCCGCAUUGGACCGUAAGCUCGCGCUUGUAUUAAGGGGGCUAGGUCUGCUUCCGGCCGCGUACGCAAGGUGCAGGUGUGCAUAGGGCGAUGGGCCCAAACCCCUGCGCGCAUAGGUUUAGACCGGCGUGCUGACCUCUCUGUUGAGCCUAGGUGGGGCUGCGACGUGUUGAUCUUACGAGGCCGGGCAUGACCCAGAAAAGUGUGUCCGGCCAAAUGGGAUCGAGCGUGUUGGGUUAUGUGGUGCACCCCUGCAGGGAAGUUUAUCUAUUCGAAUAGCCGUGUCCCUCGGUAAAAGGACGACCCGGAGUUGUACCUUGACCUUAUGACAACUAGAACUGGAUACUUAAUAAAACACACCCUUCCAAGUGCCAGAUAUAACCCGGUGGUCGCUCUCUAACAGGGUGACGAGGAGGGGAUCGCCGGGUAGGUUUAUGCUAUGCGAUGCUACUUGGAGGACUUCAAUCUACUCUCUUCUACAUGCUGCAAGAUGGAGAUGUCCAGAAGCGUAGUCUUCGACAGGACUAGCUAUCCCCCUUUUAUUCUGGCAUUCUGCAGUUCAGUCCACUGAUAUGGCCCUUUACACAUAUACCCAUGCAUAUGUAGUGUAGCUCCUUGCUUGCGAGUACUUUGGAUGAGUACUCACGGUUGCUUUUCUCCCUCUUUUCCUCUUUUCUAUACCGGAUUGUCGCAACCAGAUGCUGGAGUCCAGGAGCUAGAGAUCCCGAGGAUGAUUCUACAUGGAGUUCGGCUUCGAGGAGUAGUUAGGAGGUCCCAGGCAGGAGGCCUUGCCUUUUCGAUCGUCGCUACUUUUGUGCUAGCCUUCUUAAGGCAAACUUGUUUAACUUAUGUCUGUAUCCAGAUAUUAUUGCUUCCGCUGACUCGUCUAUGAUCGAGCACUUGUAUUCGAGCCCUCGAGGCCCCUGGCUUGUAUUAUGAUGCUUGUAUGACUUAUUUAUGUUUUAGAGUUGUGUUGUGAUAUCUUCCCGUGAGUCCCUGGUCUUGAUCGUACAUAUUUGCGUGCAUGAUUAGUGUACGGUCAAAUCGGGGGCGUCACAAGUUGGUAUCAGAGCCAACUGCCUGUAGGAAUCCCCCUUUCCAACUCCUUGGCCGAAGUCGAGUCUAGUCAUUGAAAAACUUUUACUAACAUGGUUGUGUGGCUUACGGGCCCACGUUGCCAUUGGGUGGUACUAGGAUCUUUUACUCCUUGCCUAUACUCUGGGACUCUGAUCUCUCUUCUAUUCGGGUUAAAUGAUUUUACUAAAUCUAACAUUAGGAUCUCGUUAUCACUUUCACCCGGAGAGCCCCUUAUUACUGAUGAUCGUCUGUUGCACGUGAAGACCCUGAAGAUACUCUCCGCUGAUAACCCGAGAACUUGUGUUCAUCGCUUUUGCAAUUCCCUUUCAUCGAUAAACUCCUAUGGAUAACCAGUAUACUUGCCAUUCAUACAAUGUUUCCCAGAUGAUCUUGUUAUUACAAGAUACCCCGAAAUUCUCUCUGUUGUUCCGAGAAUCCUUUGAGCUUACUACCUUGCUGUUCAUUGUCACCUGAAUACCCCUACGGAUAAUCCUCGCACUUACCGAGUAUCCGCUCAUCCCCAGUUGAUUCAAGUAUUUCACAAAAGUGUUCAAAAUAUCAUUCGAUCUUCCGAAAAUCUUCAGGAGCCUGUUGCUCUUGAAAUUCUUGCUUACUAGCAUUAUGGUUAAUCCCAUAAGUCUAUAAUCUUAUUGGCAUCUUUUGUCAUUAUCAUUUUGAGUCCGUUGAUUCAAUUUGUUGCGAAUGCUCGCAAUCCUCAAUCAGAUCCUAGAAUUCAUCCUUCCGGCUCAGACAUCUUUAACAUGAGCUGGAUCUCGACCAAUCAAAUCGUCAUCGAUUGUACCCCUAAGGCUAUUCAACUUAUCCAUCCCUAAUCAGAGCAAUGCUUCUGAUCCCUUGACUUGGAAUUCAUAAUUCCUUUGCAUUUGAGCUUGUGAGUUAGUCAGUUGUUUCUAUAGUCUGAUCUCCUUACAUUCUUUCUUCCUCUGGUUGAGUACUGAUGCUCACAUCAGAUCCCUUGUGGACCAUCAGACCCUUUUGUCGGAUUUUAUCCGACAAUGUCCUCCAUAUUAAAUAAGCUGGUGAGCUUUUCCUCGGAUACAUAAUGCCUUUGGUAAAUUGUAUCCUCUGCUUUGUCGACCAUGCUCUACUUCUGAGCUUGUGUUAUUUACUCCUGAAGUUUGUAGUAUAUCUUUCUACGAUGCCCCGAUGGGUUGAACCUAUGCCUUCCUUAAUAUGUGUGAACUCAGAAGUUUUCACGAGUCAUACUCAUCUGGUAUUUCACCAGGUAUAACUUUCAACACUAAUGACUUUACCAAAGCGAGGAGUGAAUGGAAGGUUAUACAUUGAAGAAGUGGGAGAGACUCCCUUGAACCUUGCGUUCAUGCCCAUGGACACGAUGUAUAACUUAUCAUGGAAGCUGCUUGUAAAAAUAAUUACCCCCCUUGUUAUAAGUUCAUCUUGUAUCCGUGGUUCGAUCAUUUAUGAUCGUGGUUUCUGACCAUGUUCUCCUUUAAAUACCAUUUCUCGUGCAAGUUUAAGCACUUGUCUUCUGCAGAGUAAUACCCCAGUCCAACCUCUACUUUGAUUUGUCGUCGAGUAUUACCCCCCUGGUAUCUCAAGAUUAUCACGGAACUGCAUAACUUCUUAUGAGUUCUUCAUCAAGUGCUACAUUCUCACUGAUUCCAAUUUUUCACGGGCUUCGAGUUUUAAAACACUCAAAACCACCGAUAACUGAAUCGAGUCCGCACUGCGAUUAAACAACUCUUAGUAAUCUUCUUUACUUAUGAGUUUGUACCCGAUCACGUCAUUCCUAGCCUGAUUGGCUACAUCAUUAUCGUGCCGAUCUUAACUGUGCUACCUGGUCUUUAUUCCCGGAGCACCACUUUCGACGAUGAGCUAAGCUUACGUCGAUUUUCCUCGUCAUAUCAUUUCGCCUUGAACAGCAAGCUUGAUUUCGAGUUUGUGUCGUACCCCUGGUUCCAAUAACUUUUCGCUUCAUCGUUCCUUUGACUUGAUGUCAUCGUCGAUCGAUUACCUCUUCAUAAAUUCUCGCUACAAAUGUGUCGUGAACAUCAUCAACAUUCUGAGCUCUUCCAAGAUAUCUAUCGAAUUCUGGAUGAGAAAUACCAUCCUUGCCCUCGAUGAUUUGUUUUAUCAUCGACCAUUUUAUUGCCUUCCAUUCAACACAAACUUGUUCGUGUUUUGUGUUGUACCUUGAUUUCCUUGCUAUCUUGCUUAUGAUAUGUUCUACCUUGGUGUAUUACCAUCUUUUAUGUCAAGAAUGUCGUAAGAAUUUCACCACCUCGUAUGACAUCUUGGUACAGUGAUACUUAUCCCCAUCACCAUUCUUUCUUGGUCCCCGUGUUUGUUUCUAAAAGGAAUACCGACAAAUGGUCUGUGAUGUGUAAAUUCUAAACUUCUAGCAACCCUAUUGCUUUGAAGUUAUUGGUCUAUAGUUUCAUCCUACGCCUAUGGCUUAAUGAAUCAUCAUUCGGACAUUGAUUGUGCUACCUAGCCCAUAUUUCGGGUGCACAUUUCAACCAAUGUUUAACUGUGUAUGUUUUCCUCGAGCAUGCAUCAUUAAGUCAUUCGAUCUAGAUAAUGUUAUCUCCUUGUUCACAUAGGGAUGGAAAUCCAUCUUUUGGAAAUCUCAAUGGAUUGUCGCUGAGUCAAUCAGUCACCUCCUCACCUCUCCUUGAUGUAAUGAUGAACCCUUGUCCGGAACUCGCUUCCAUAGUUCAUCUCCCGAGAAUCUCCGAUGUCGUUUCGACAAUUUGUGUUGCACCUUUCUUCUCAGGCAUCCUGAGUCUGAGUUAUCCUGACACCAAUUAGAUCUGAAUCUCGGUCAGAUAUGAUGGUUGGAACAUAUUUCCAAGAGUUAUAACAUUGGCCUAUUUAUGACCCGGUAAGGUGAUGAUACCCAGCACACCUGGCGGGAGGCCCUAUUGUUAUAAGUUUUUCCUUUUAGCAAGGUUGGCUGUUCUUCCAUGAGGAAAUUGUAAGACUUAUUCUAUAAGUUGUUCCUGAUGGAUCCUUUUUGUUUCCAAAGUCUGAUCUUCCCCUGUUGACCAUGUCAAUGCUAUCUCGAAGCAUGUCUAUGGUACUCUGAUUUUCAACAGGAACAUUUGAAGCCCAAUGCUAAAUGUUUCCUGCUCAAUUAUCCAAACACCGUUGUAUGGGUAAUGUCAUGAAAUUUCUCUCCCCUACCUAAAGAGUUUUCUACAUUAUAUCCUGUCAUGAAUAUCAUGCUCAGCUUGUCCUUGGGAAGGAUAUAACCUUGAAAUAUGUGUUUAAACACAUUUUCCUUUCCAUUCUUCUGUUUAAUCUGAUAAUCAUAUUUUCCUUUCCAUUGUGUGGUUUAACCUUUCUGGUGAACUAUAUGAUCUAAGCAGUAAUAUUCUCCUGCUUAUGUAAACACCUCGGUGUACAACUCUGUCAGUAAGACCCUGUUAUUAUUGUUGGUGACAUUUCGGUAACCACCGAUGGACGAGAACUUUGCCUAAUGGUCCGCCUCGUUUCAACGAGCAGGAAAAUGGUUCUCUUCGUCCCUCGCCCUUGGCACCGACGAUGUUGCUGACAUAUAACUGACAGGCUACCCUCUGCCAUGCCUUGCUAUCAUGAUCGUGCAAGAUGUCACCGCCCUUCCUACUUUAACCACAUGGUGGGCCCAUAACCCACAGUUCCAUAGGAUCGAAACCUGACUCUCCUGUGCACCCCCUGUUCCCAAACUUAUUCAUCGCGCGUGGCCUCGUAUGUAAUUCACGGACCAACGCCCUACUGAUCUAUUCUGGUAUCAGACACAAUACUUAUUCUCGUUGCUCUAAACCCCUUCCACACUUCGUUUCAGGCAACGAACGGUUACCUAUGCGCUUGAAACUUCUAUUUUGCACCUCUUACUUUGCUCUCGAUAAUUUCUUAAGUUUCAAUUCGAGAGUUACUUUCCGCCACCUUCCCCGAUGUUAUCGACCAGAUGAGCAACAUUGUAGCGGUCCGUUCUUCCGAAGUUACCCCUUGUCUUUUCGUAAGUAUGAUGAAAUUUCCGAAGGAAGGACGACGAAUUCAUCAUGAUGCUUUGGAAUAAAGAAUUGAAGACAUCAACCAAAGGAUUAACUUCUUCGAGAAGAUCCGUUAGAAUAUCAUAACCAGAACUUUCCCCCUUACUCCCCUCUUAAAUCUCGAGACGAGAUUUCUUGUAGUGGAGGAGAAUUGUGACGCCCGGAUAAUUAAGCUACAGUGAACCUCUGCUAAUGAUGCCACGUCACUUCCAUUACUGUUGCUAAUCUCACAUUAGUUCGAAACCGAUUUAAAUUCAAAGUCAAAAUCAAGCAAUCAAUAAAUGUUUUCAAAUAUUAAAACUGAAAUGUUCAUCAUGUGGCAAAUAAUCCCUAACUAGUUUUGGUGGUGGAACCAACCUUUUACAAAGUGUUUAAAUGCCCUAGACUAAUUAAAAAUAGCGGCUAAAAUAAUAAUUUAAUUCCUUUUGAAAAUAUAAAAAUAUUAAACUAAUUUAUUUUGGGUCAAACUAGGUUUGGCAGUGGCCUAUUUUGAUUAUACUAAUUUAGGUGCUAACUUGGUAUUUUAAAGAAACUAAAAUAAUUAGGAACUAAAAGAAAACAGAAAAGAAAAAAAUAAGAAAAGGCAAAAGAAAAACAAAAU